AAUCUUCCACAAUGGGCGAAAGCCUGAUGGAGCAACGCCGCGUGAGUGAAGAAGGUUUNCGGAUCNUNAAACUCUGUUGUUAGGGNAGAACAAGUACAGUAGUAACUGGCUGUACCUUGACGGUACCUUACUAGAAAGCCACGGCUAACUACGUUCCAGCCGCCGCGGUAAUACGUAGGUGGCAAGCGUUGUCCAGAACUAUUGGGCGUAAAGCGCGCGCAGGCGGUACAUUGAGUCUGAUGUGAAAGCACACGGCUCAACCGUGGAGGGUCAUUGGAAACUGGGGGACGUGAGUGCAGAAGAGGAAAGUGGAAUUCCAAGUGUAGCGGUGAAAUGCGUAGAGAUUUGGAGGAACACCAGUGGCGAAGGCGACUUUCUGGUCUGUAACUGACGCUGAGGCGCGAAAGCGUGGGGAGCAAACAGG
rnacentral:rRNA from 1 species